UCAUUAUAUGUCAAAUAUUAGCUAAAUAUUUCAUGUGCCUGUCGAUUUUGUGUUUGUACAAAACCUUCUACUAUUGCACUUCUAUCUCAUGACCACUUUCUUCUUCAUCUUUUUUUCCUGUUCUUUUAUAAUUGCUUAAUGUGAUGGAUUUUCUAUAUAUAUAUAUACAAAAUAAUAAAUAAAAAACGGUCUUUUGCUCAUCUGACUCAAGUUUGCCUUGUCCUAUGCUCUUUGGUGUUGUCUCACAAAAGUUUCAGGAGAACCUAUUGUAAUUUUGUGUGAUGAUCACUUUGCUAUAAUCUUGGGUUUACUAGUUGAUGGUUAUGAAAAGUGAUAGAUCAAUUUCAGUGAUCCUGUCUAUGUUGCAGAUUUUAUGUUCAUUUGUCAUUGUCAGCAUGGUAGAAUCAGAUCUAACCUCUCAAUAGAAGGAAGAUAUGUAUGUAUAGGGUUCUACAUUGUGUUGCAAGAAUGUGUUUGUUCAGAUGGAUUAAAAGUUAUUAGAAUUCUAGAAAAUUUGGGUUAAAAAAAGUUUAUGCUUGAUUGAAUUAGCUAGUGUUUCACAUAAAGACCAUCUUAAAUAACUCUCCAAAAAUCUCGUCCUCUCCGAGACCAGUAAUUGAAAACUUGGAAACUUGAUUUUAUUUUGCUUGAUUGCAUUAAUGAAUAAUUCACACAGAUCAUCUCAAACAUCCAAUAAACUCUUUUCAGUUCCAGUAUAAUCCAUAUCCUUGGAUAAUCCAAAUCCUCUAAAGUUACGUAUUGCUGUAUUUUAUAGAGUAAAUUAUCUAUUGGUUUAGAUAACAAUGUACACUAUAAUUCAUUAUAAGUGUAUAUACCUAUGUAUUUAUUUCUUCAUUUCCAAUCUUAAGCUUAUCCCGUGCACAAUUAUUAACCAAUAAAAAACUUACUUUGUAAGUUAUUGCACAAAUUAACCAUAAAAGAGUCAGACCCCUCGGAUGGGGUACUUACUGGGUCAACUUGUAAGCAAGGUUCAAAAGAGUAGUAGUUAAUUAAUGCCAUUAAGGAGGAAGCUCAUCUAAUGGAUAUACCAAUCCAGCUAGGCUCUACAAAAAUGUUCUGGGCAACAAUCUUUGCAUUUACUCGAUUUUUACUAGAAUACUCACUGAUAGUACAGCUGAUGUACUUCAUACAGCAAGAUAAUUACUAUGAGGGAAUUAUUUCGGUGUUUUGGAUGAGGAAUUCUGAUAUCUAUUCAAGUGUUUCUGUAUCCUAUUUGUGCUAAAUCUUGUGGUAUUUUUCAAAUGAAAGAACAUAAUUCUUUGGCCAACAAUGACAUUAGUUUCUGCAUUUGUUUGUUUAUCGAAAUUCUUGUUUUCUCUUCUGAAUUCUAACAUUGUUUGAAACUUGUGAUUGAUAAUGGGAGAUUGGUCAGGACUUGGUGCGCACAUCAAAAAUCAGUGACUUGCUUGACAUUUUCCAGCGAUGAUUCAUUUCUUAUUUCUGGUUCAGAAGAUGGCAUGAUCAUUAUUUGGCCUAUGAUCGGGAAAAAUAAAUAACUGACUUUGUAAUCACAUUGUUUGGUGGAAGUUUGGUAGACGAGACAGAUUGUUGGACUGUGGGUUUAAAACUAAAUUUUUCGUUGGAACUUUCAUCCUCUAUAACGGGCCUAUUAACUGCAUCAAGUGGUUCAAGUUUAAUUUUUUUUUAUCACGCUCCCUCGAUGGCACAUGCAAGGUAUGGGACCUUGUUAUUGGAAGACUUUUACAAACGCGAGCUUUUCUACUACCAAUUACUGCAAUAGUUGUUGAUCCAACAAAGAUGAAGUUAUUUUCUGGUGGUAUAGAUUACUAGUGGAUAUUUUCUUUUUGUAUACGGAGGACAUCAUUUUUGUAUGAUUAUCUAUUUGUAUGGAAUUAUUAUUUUGGGUUGGAUUAUAUUUGGUUUGUAUAGAAUUUGAUGUUACAAGACCAAAUUUUUGGAUGGUUGAAAGUGAAAUAGAAAUAGACAUAUUUAUUGUUUUGUUUA